AUGAACGCUAGCGACAGGCUUAACACAUGCAAGUCGAGGGGCAGCACAGGUAGCAAUACCGGGUGGCGACCGGCGCACGGGUGAGUAACGCGUAUGCAACUUGCCUAUCAGAGGGGGAUAACCCGGCGAAAGUCGGACUAAUACCGCAUGAAGCAGGGGCCCCGCAUGGGGAUAUUUGCUAAAGAUUCAUCGCUGAUAGAUAGGCAUGCGUUCCAUUAGGCAGUUGGCGGGGUAACGGCCCACCAAACCGACGAUGGAUAGGGGUUCUGAGAGGAAGGUCCCCCACAUUGGUACUGAGACACGGACCAAACUCCUACGGGAGGCAGCAGUGAGGAAUAUUGGUCAAUGGCCGAGAGGCUGAACCAGCCAAGUCGCGUGAGGGAUGAAGGUUCUAUGGAUCGUAAACCUCUUUUAUAAGGGAAUAAAGUGCGGGACGUGUCCCGUUUUGUAUGUACCUUAUGAAUAAGGAUCGGCUAACUCCGUGCCAGCAGCCGCGGUAAUACGGAGGAUCCGAGCGUUAUCCGGAUUUAUUGGGUUUAAAGGGUGCGUAGGCGGCCUUUUAAGUCAGCGGUGAAAGUCUGUGGCUCAACCAUAGAAUUGCCGUUGAAACUGGGGGGCUUGAGUAUGUUUGAGGCAGGCGGAAUGCGUGGUGUAGCGGUGAAAUGCAUAGAUAUCACGCAGAACCCCGAUUGCGAAGGCAGCCUGCCAAGCCAUUACUGACGCUGAUGCACGAAAGCGUGGGGAUCAAACAGGAUUAGAUACCCUGGUAGUCCACGCAGUAAACGAUGAUCACUAGCUGUUUGCGAUACACUGUAAGCGGCACAGCGAAAGCGUUAAGUGAUCCACCUGGGGAGUACGCCGGCAACGGUGAAACUCAAAGGAAUUGACGGGGGCCCGCACAAGCGGAGGAACAUGUGGUUUAAUUCGAUGAUACGCGAGGAACCUUACCCGGUUUUGAACGCAUUCGGACCGAGGUGGAAACACCUUUUCUAGCAAUAGCCGUUUGCGAGGUGCUGCAUGGUUGUCGUCAGCUCGUGCCGUGAGGUGUCGGCUUAAGUGCCAUAACGAGCGCAACCCUUGCCACUAGUUACUAACAGGUAAAGCUGAGGACUCUGGUGGGACUGCCAGCGUAAGCUGCGAGGAAGGCGGGGAUGACGUCAAAUCAGCACGGCCCUUACAUCCGGGGCGACACACGUGUUACAAUGGCGUGGACAAAGGGAGGCCACCUGGCGACAGGGAGCGAAUCCCCAAACCACGUCUCAGUUCGGAUCGGAGUCUGCAACCCGACUCCGUGAAGCUGGAUUCGCUAGUAAUCGCGCAUCAGCCAUGGCGCGGUGAAUACGUUCCCGGGCCUUGUACACACCGCCCGUCAAGCCAUGGGAGCCGGGGGUACCUGAAGUCCGUAACCGAAAGGAUCGGCCUAGGGUAAAACUGGUGACUGGGGCU
rnacentral:rRNA from 1 species